ensembl:lncRNA
GCCGCCAUCCUGCGCGCCAGCGCCGACGCCAACGCCAAGGCCACGGCCAUGGCCAGGGCCGCCGGAGCCACCGGCAUCACCAGUAUCACCAGUAUGACCAGCAUGACCGGCAUCACCAGUAUCACCAGUAUAACCAGCACGACCGGCAUCACCAGUAUGACCAGUGCCACCAGUAAGGCCACCGGCGCUCCCAGUUUGGGCGGCGGCGUCAUCGUCACCAGAGCCGCCGCCGGCGCGGCUCCCAGCGCUCCCAGUUUGACCAGUACGACCAGUCCGGGGAGGGUCGGUGCUGGGAUUGUCCCUAAAGCCACCGGCGGGACCAGUCCGGGUGUCACCAGUGCGACCAGUGUGACCAGUUUGACCAGUGCGGCGGCUCCCAGUUUGACCAGUGCUGCAGCUCCCAGUGUCACCAGUUCGACCAGUUUGACCAGUGCUGUGGCUCCCAGUUUGACCAGUGCUGCGGCUCCCAGUGUCACCAGUGCGACCAGUGUGACCAGUUUGACCGGUGCGGCGGCUCCCAGUUUGACCAGUGCAGCGGCUCCCAGUUUGACCAGUACAACCAGUUUGACCAGUGCGGCGGCUCCCAGUGUCACCAGUGUCACCAGUUUCACCAGUGUGGCAGCUCCCAGUUUGACCAGUUUGACCGGUGCGGCGGCUCCCAGUGUCACCAGUUCAACCAGCUUGACCAGUGCUGCGACUCCCAGUUCGACCAGUUUGACCGGUGCCGUGGCUACCAGUUUGACCAGUACGACCAGUUUGACCGGUGCUACAGUUCCCAGUACAACCAGUUUGAGCAGUGCUGCGGCUCCCAGUUUGACCAGUUCAACCACUGCUACAGCUCCCAGUGUCACCAGUACAACCAGUUUGACCAGUGCUGCGGCUCCCAGUGUCACCAGUGUGACCAGUGCGGCGGCUCCCAGUUCAACCAGUCUGACCAGUGCUGCGGCUCCCAGUUCAACCAGUUUGACCAGUGCUGCGGCUCCCAGUUCAACCAGUUUGACCGGUGCUGCGGCUCCCAGUUCAACCAGUUUGACCGGUGCUGCGGUUCCCAGUACAACCAGUUUGAGCAGUGCUGUGGCUCCCAGUAUCACCAGUUUGACCAGUUCCACGGCUCCCAGUUUAACCAGUAUCACCAGUUUGACCAGUUCCACGGCUCCCAGUUUAACCAGUGUCACCAGUACGACCAGUUCCACGGCUCCCAGUUUAACCAGUGUCACCAGUACGACCGGUUCCACGGCUCCCAGUGCCGCCAGUGCUGCCGUUCUCAGCGCCACCAGUUUGACCAGUGCUCCCAGUAUGAGCAGCGCUGCUCCCAGUUUGACCAGUGGCACCCGUGCUGCGGCUCCCAGUGCUCCCAGUACCAUCACGGCAGCGGCUCCCAGUGCUCCCAGUAACACCAGUACCGUCGUGGCAGCAGCUCCCAGUACCACCAGUAACAGCGUGGCAGUGGCUCCCAGUGCUCCCAGUUCCACCAUGACACCGGCUCCCAGUGCUCCCAGUAUCACCAGUGCUGCGCCUCAGAGCGUUCCCAGUGCUCCCAGUUUGACCAGUGGCACCAGUGCUGCGGCUCCCAGUGCUCCCAGUAUCACCAGUACGGGCAUAACCAGCACUCCCAGUAUCACCAGUAUGGGUAUGGUGACAGCUCCCAGUGCUCCCAGUAUCACCGUGGCAGCGGCUCCCAGUGCUCCCAGUUUGACCAGUGGCACCAGUGCUGCGGCUCCCAGUGCUCCCAGUGCUCCCAGUACCAUCAUGGCAGCGGCUCCCAGUGCUCCCAGUAUCACCGUGGCAGCGGCUCCCAGUGCUCCCAGUGCUCCCAGUAUCACCGUGGCAGCGGCUCCCAGUGCUCCCAGUGCUCCCAGUAUCACCGUGGCAGCGGCUCCCAGUGCCACCAGUAUCACCAGUACGGGCACGGCAGCAGCUCCCAGUGCUCCCAGUACCACCAGUAUGGGCACACUGAUGGCACCCAGUGCUCCCAGUACCACCAGUGCGGCACCUCAGAGCAUUCCCAGUGCUCCCAGUAUCACCAGUACCACCGUGGCUGCAUCUCCCAGUGCUCCCAGUGCUCCCAGUGCUCCCAGUACCAGCCCACCAGCGGCUCCCAGUGCUCCCAGUGCUCCCAGUACCAGCCCACCAGCAGCUCCCAGUGCUCCCAGUGUCACCAGUACUGGCACACCAGCAGCUCCCAGUAUCACCAUGGCAGCGGCUCCCAGUGCUCCCAGUGCUCCCAGUGCUCCCAGUAUCACCAGUACCGGCACACCAGCGGCUCCCAGUGCUCCCAGUGCUCCCAGUGCUCCCAGUGCUCCGCCGGCCGCCGGCCCCAAGGGCAGCUCCUCGUCGUCGUCCUCCUCCUCCUCUUCCUCCUCGUCCUCCUCCUCCUCCUCGUCCGACUCCGACUCCGACUCCAGCUCCAGCUCUUCCGACUCCGCCCCGCCUUCGCCGGCCCCGCCCACCGGGUGAGGACACGCCCCUUUCCUUAAUUAACCACGCCUCAUUUGCUAAUUAACCCCUCCCACCGGGUGAGGACACGCCCCUUUCCUUAAUGAACCAAUUAACCACGCCUCUUUUCCUAAUUAAUCCCUCCCACCGGGUGAGGACACGCCCCUUUCCUUAAUUAACCAAUUAACCACGCCUCUUUUCCUAAUUAAUCCCUUCCACCGGGUGAGGACACGCCCCUUUCCUUAAUUAACCACGCCUCUUUUCCUAAUUAAUCCCUCCUACCGGGUGAGGACACGCCCCUU